rnacentral:lncRNA from 1 species
GUGCAGUUGACUCCAGUGUAGAGCCUCCACGCAGAACUCAGCAGCCCACUCCAGCCCUGCUCAAGCAUUUGACAUACUACUGCUACGACACUGCAGCAAGAUGUUUGCAGUUAUACAUCUUGAAAUGCUGUCACCUGAAAACUAUUACUACUACUAGCAACAAAUUUACAUCUUUUAGUCAGAAGAGAGACCAACUUCCCUUAGGAUGAUACAGUGUCAUUCCUGGUUCUCUUUCUGGAAAUACGGUGUAUAUCGGAGGACAAAGCAAACCAGGGACGCCUUGUCUUGGAAUCAUACCAUCAACAAGCUGAAAUACAAAUUGAAAGGAGAUGGCUGUGCAGCAUGA